rnacentral:rRNA from 1 species
GACGAACGCUGGCGGCGUGCUUAACACAUGCAAGUCGAACGCAGUGGCGAACGGGUGAGUAACGCGUAAUCAACCUGCCCUUCAGCGGGGGACAACAGUUGGAAACGACUGCUAAUACCGCAUACUGAAGGAGGGGAUUGCGUCUGAUUAGCUAGUUGGAGGGGUAACGGCCCACCAAGGCGAUGAUCAGUAGCCGGACUGAGAGGAUGAACGGCCAAAGUGGGACUGAGAAACGGCCCAGACUCCUACGGGAGGCAGCAGUGGGGAAGCUUCCGAAAUGGACGAAAGUCUGACGGAGCAACGCCGCGGGAGUGAUGACGGCCUUCGGGUUGUAAAGCUCUGUUAAUCGGGACGCGGUACCGGAAUAGAAAGCCACGGCUAACUACGUGCCAGCAGCCGCGGUAAUUC